AUUGAACGCUGGCGGAAUGCUUUACACAUGCAAGUCGAACGGCAGCACGGGGGCAACCCUGGUGGCGAGUGGCGAACGGGUGAGUAAUACAUCGGAACGUGCCCAGUUGUGGGGGAUAACGUAGCGGAAGUUACGCUAAUACCGCAUACGAUCUACGGAUGAAAGCGGGGGACCGUAAGGCCUCGCGCGAUUGGAGCGGCCGAUGUCAGAUUAGGUAGUUGGUGAGGUAAAGGCUCACCAAGCCGACGAUCUGUAGCUGGUCUGAGAGGACGACCAGCCACACUGGGACUGAGACACGGCCCAGACUCCUACGGGAGGCAGCAGUGGGGAAUUUUGGACAAUGGGCGCAAGCCUGAUUCAGCCAUUCCGCGUGCAGGACGAAGGCCUUCGGGUUGUAAACUGCUUUUGUACGGAACGAAAAGGCUCUGGUUAAUACCUGGGGCUCAUGACGGUACCGUAAGAAUAAGCACCGGCUAACUACGUGCCAGCCGCCGCGGUAA
rnacentral:rRNA from 1 species